UGAGGCAUUGGUGCCUUUAUUGGACCACGAGGAGAAGAAUCUACAAAAAAUUCCUGGUCCUCCGACCGGAGAAGAUUCAUGAUUAAUUGUUCUGCUUAUCAAUUAAAGGUGAGAACGUGGAAGAGGAUUGAGGAGCUUUUAGAGGGCUGAAGGAGGCAAAGGGCUAAUAAUUAAUUCUUUCUUUUCCAAUUACAUCUCAAAAGUGGGAAUAUGAUGAGAUGCAGGGGCCGGGGAAAACACACCAAUAUGGAUGGUUAAGAGAUGAUGUUGGCAAAGACGCACCAUGUUGUGUGAGGGAUAAGCUCACUCUAUCGUAUUUAUGUUGGAGCGGCAACAUGGGUAGGAAGUGCGCUACAAUGCCACCCCAAUCGAUACCCACGGCUGAGGACAUGGAACUCAUUAUGAAGUCCAUGUCAUCCAUCGGUGCUUCCGAAUUCCGUGUGUAAAACUGAUGGAUAUCACUUAUCUGGCAAAUAUUUGGGUGCAAACAGUCAUUACCGGAGCCAUUGGGUGGUACGUAUUCCAAUGUGGUGUUUAUUAUAGGAAACCCAUUAGGGUUUUCCACGAUGGAAAAAAAUAGAGAGACAUUUUUUCUGUUA